CCUACGGGUGGCAGCAGUGGGGAAUAUUGGUCAAUGGACGAGAGUCUGAACCAGCCAAGUAGCGUGAAGGAUGACUGCCCUAUGGGUUGUAAACUUCUUUUAUAUGGGAAUAAAAUGUUCCACGUGUGGGAUUUUGUAUGUACCAUAUGAAUAAGGAUAGGCUAACUCCGUGCCAGCAGCCGCGGUAAUACGGAGGAUCCGAGCGUUAUCCGGAUUUAUUGGGUUUAAAGGGAGCGUAGGUGGAUUGUUAAGUCAGUUGUGAAAGUUUGCGGCUCAACCGUAAAAUUGCAGUUGAAACUGGCAGUCUUGAGUACAGUAGAGGUGGGCGGAAUUCGUGGUGUAGCGGUGAAAUGCUUAGAUAUCACGAAGAACUCCGAUUGCGAAGGCAGUUCACUGGACUGCAACUGACACUGAGGCUCGAAAGUGUGGGUAUCAAACAGGAUUAGAUACCCUAGUAGUC
rnacentral:rRNA from 1 species